GAUGAACGCUAGCUACAGGCUUAACACAUGCAAGUCGAGGGGAAACGAUAUUGGAAGCUUGCUUCCGAUAGGCGUCGACCGGCGCACGGGUGAGUAACGCGUAUCCAACCUGCCCAUCACUUGGGGAUAACCUUGCGAAAGUAAGACUAAUACCCAAUGACGUCUCUAGAAGACAUCUGAAAGAGAUUAAAGAUUUAUCGGUGAUGGAUGGGGAUGCGUCUGAUUAGCUUGUUGGCGGGGUAACGGCCCACCAAGGCGACGAUCAGUAGGGGUUCUGAGAGGAAGGUCCCCCACAUUGGAACUGAGACACGGUCCAAACUCCUACGGGAGGCAGCAGUGAGGAAUAUUGGUCAAUGGACGAGAGUCUGAACCAGCCAAGUAGCGUGCAGGAAGACGGCCCUAUGGGUUGUAAACUGCUUUUAUAAGGGAAUAAAGUGAGUCUCGUGAGACUUUUUGCAUGUACCUUAUGAAUAAGGACCGGCUAAUUCCGUGCCAGCAGCC
rnacentral:rRNA from 1 species